rnacentral:rRNA from 1 species
GUGGGGAAUAUUGGACAAUGGGCGCAAGCCUGAUCCAGCCAUGCCGCGUGUGUGAAGAAGGCCUUUUGGUUGUAAAGCACUUUAAGCGAGGAGGAGGCUACUUGGAUUAAUACUCUAGGAUAGUGGACGUUACUCGCAGAAUAAGCACCGGCUAACUCUGUGCCAGCAGCCGCGGUAAUACAGAGGGUGCGAGCGUUAAUCGGAUUUACUGGGCGUAAAGCGUGCGUAGGUGGUUAAUUAAGUCAAAUGUGAAAUCCCCGAGCUUAACUUGGGAAUUGCAUUCGAUACUGGUUAGCUAGAGUAUGGGAGAGGAUGGUAGAAUUCCAGGUGUAGCGGUGAAAUGCGUAGAGAUCUGGAGGAAUACCGAUGGCGAAGGCAGCCAUCUGGCCUAAUACUGACACUGAGGUGCGAAAGCAUGGGGAGCAAACAGGAUUAGAUACCCCUGUAGUCC